rnacentral:lncRNA from 1 species
AGAUUAUUCACCAGCUGUUGUUUCCUUCCUUUCAGCAGAGCUAUUGAAACGUUUGUAAAAUAGCAGAGGGUUCCAGAUGGGAGGAGCCAUUGUUCAAAGUCCAGACCACCCAGCGGGCAUGUCAGCCCACAACAUGACCUAUUCAUGUGUUUGCUUUUCAUGGACUCCUAAGAUUAUUCACAAUGGAAGAAACAAUGGCAGAGAAAGAUAACCAAGGACAGAAAUUACAUUCCUCCGUAGAAUCUUGUAAUGGUUUCCUGUUACUAAAGGACCAAGAAGAUAUUUACUCUUCUGGUAAAAUUUAAGCCAAGUCUGUCUUCUUUGCUUUUUCAUUUGGGGUC